rnacentral:rRNA from 1 species
AUUGAACGCUGGCGGCAGGCCUAACACAUGCAAGUCGAGCGGAUGAAGGGAGCUUGCUCCUGGAUUCAGCGGCGGACGGGUGAGUAAUGCCUAGGAAUCUGCCUGGUAGUGGGGGAUAACGUCCGGAAACGGGCGCUAAUACCGCAUACGUCCUGAGGGAGAAAGUGGGGGAUCUUCGGACCUCACGCUAUCAGAUGAGCCUAGGUCGGAUUAGCUAGUUGGUGGGGUAAAGGCCUACCAAGGCGACGAUCCGUAACUGGUCUGAGAGGAUGAUCAGUCACACGGGAACUGAGACACGGUCCAGACUCCUACGGGAGGCAGCAGUGGGGAAUAUUGGACAAUGGGCGAAAGCCUUAUCCAGCCAUGCCGCGUGUGAGAAGAAGGCCUUCGGAUUGUAAAGCACGUUAAGUUGGGAGGAAGGGCAGUAAGUUAAUACCUUGCUGUUUUGACGGUACCAACAGAAUAAGCACCGGCUAACUUCGUG